rnacentral:rRNA from 1 species
CCUACGGGAGGCUGCAGUGGGGAAUAUUGCACAAUGGGCGCAAGCCUGAUGCAGCCAUGCCGCGUGUGUGAAGAAGGCCUUCGGGUUGUAAAGCACUUUCAGCGGGGAGGAAGGCGGUGAGGUUAAUAACCUCAUCGAUUGACGUUACCCGCCGAAGAAGCACCGGCUAACUCCGUGCCAGCAGCCGCGGUAAUACGGAGGGUGCAAGCGUUAAUCGGAAUUACUGGGCGUAAAGCGCACGCAGGCGGUCUGUCAAGUCGGAUGUGAAAUCCCCGGGCUCAACCUGGGAACUGCAUUCGAAACUGGCAGGCUAGAGUCUUGUAGAGGGGGGUAGAAUUCCAGGUGUAGCGGUGAAAUGCGUAGAGAUCUGGAGGAAUACCGGUGGCGAAGGCGGCCCCCUGGAUAAAGACUGACGCUCAGGUGCGAAAGCGUGGGGAGCAAACAGGAUUAGAUACCCUAGUAGUC